rnacentral:lncRNA from 11 species
GACUUUUCUCUGCAUUGUUAUUUCAUUCUUUUUUUUUAUGUUCCCAAACUAAUAAAUGUUGCCCAUCUCUUUUUCUCCCUUAUCGCCAGAACUGGAUUGUUUUGCUUUGCCAGCAAAGUGCAGCUGCAAUGAGUCAACUUAAAGAAGAUGAACCAACAAAUAAUGGGGAGAAGAGUGAAUUGUUUCCUUUAAACUGCAAGGUAUCAGAACUAUUACUGGCCCAUAGAUGCCUUAAAUGGGGACAAGAGAAGGACCUUUCUAGGGUGGAUGUUUUGGAGUCCCAUGCAUCCCUUUUCCAUUCUAUUCGGUCAAUUUUAAAAGCUUGGAAGAAGACUGCAGAAAAUGAUAAGGCCAAACGCUUGGAGGUCAAGAAAUCCAGUGGCAUUUCCUUAGCCAGCCUUCAGGUGCAAGAUUUUGUAAAGGAACAUUUUGAUUUUCUGAAAGACAGAAAAGAAGACAAAGACACCCGCAGGAAAUCGCGUUCUAAAUCCAUCAGCAGACCUGGACAUUCCAGACAUCCUCUUAUGUCAAAAAGAAAGGGACGGAAAGCUGAUCGUGAAGAGUUGCCACCAACACGCUUGCUUCCUUACUUUAGUUUAAUUAGGAAUUGUUUUCCGUUGCCACUAUCUAUCAUCCAAAGCCUAUGUCUCUCAAGAGAGAUACAAUGCAGGAUCGAACGUUUUACUCAGAAGCGCAGAAAGAAGGAAGAAGUAACUCAGCUUGGAUCAGAAGAACUUCCGAUGCUUAAACUACAGACAAUAGAAGAUCCAAAGUACAUAACCUUUUCCAGCCUGAGGGAGCUGCAGUGGAAGUUAUUUAAAGGUCUGGUGAAAAGGAAACCUGGAACUAUUGGAAUUUGGAGGGUACCUUUAUACAGUUCGGGGAUUGGAUACACAAUGACUCCUCACAAACAAGAAUACGUCCUUCCUCUGAUACCUAAAGACUGGAUAAUUGAUGACUCCCUCAAGUUUUCAGAGGAAAUGACACACCGACUUCUCCAGUAUAAUCCUCCGUCUUGAAUGGAAAGGCAGUUAAAUAGAGUUCUGGAAAAAAAUCCAACUAAAAUGCAUUGAACAGUUCACAGUGCUAGUAUAAUUAGUAUAAUUCUAAUAGUACACAGUGGCUGGGUUGCUUUUGUCAUCUGUCCAGAGCAUAUGAGUGUCAUUCCUGGUGGUCUAAAAAGUACACAGUGUGAAAGUAUGUCUCCAUCAAACGUCUAAAAAUAAAAUUUCUCAGAUAAUGUCUAUUGCAGAUCUCAAGAAUUUAUUUCUAAAUUCUACUCCAGCCAUCUAACCACUAUGACACGCUGACUCUCCUGCAGGUAUACAUAUCGUAACAAUAAAACAUUAAAAUUGGUUUGGUUGAACUCAGGCCCAAGCGCAAUACUAAGUGCUAAACAAGGUCUCGUCUCUACUAUGGUAGGGUACUAGUUAAAAACUAGAAAUAAUUGUCUUCUUUCACAUUUCUGUCAUAGGUAAGAGUCAUUUUAAGUUUGAUACAUGGAGUGCUUUAAACAAAACAACUGUUGAUACAAUUACAGUGCAUCUCUAUAUUGAUUAUAUCGCAGACUAUCCUUGAGGAGCCAGGAUGCUCUGUCCUUCCUGUCCUUUAAUCAGCAAGUCAAAAUAUUGUUAUGCCAUCAGGCUGACUGGCUGGGGUUGGGCUUUUAAUGCUGUGUGGUG